rnacentral:rRNA from 1 species
GUAGGGAAUAUUGCACAAUGGAGGAAACUCUGAUGCAGCGACGCCGCGUGAGUGAUGAAGGCCUUCGGGUCGUAAAGCUCUGUCGCAGGGGAAUAACACAAUGAAGGUACCCUGUAAGAAAGGAUCGGCUAACUUCGUGCCAGCAGCCGCGGUAAGACGAGGGAUCCUAGCGUUGUUCGGAAUCAUUGGGCGUAAAGCGGAUGUAGGUGGCUAUGUAAGUCAGAUGUGAAAGCCUGGGGCUCAACCCCAGAAGUGCAUUUGAUACUGCGUAGCUUGAGUGUCGGAGAGGUUACUAGAAUUGUUGGUGUAGUGGUGAAAUACGUAGAUAUCAACAGGAAUACCGGAGGCGAAGGCGGGUAACUGGCCGAACACUGACACUGAGAUCCGAAAGCGUGGGGAUCAAACAGGAUUAGAAACCCCGGUAGCCC